rnacentral:rRNA from 1 species
GACGAACGCUGGCGGCGUGCUUAACACAUGCAAGUCGAACGGAAAGGCCCUGCUUUUGUGGGGUGCUCGAGUGGCGAACGGGUGAGUAACACGUGAGUAACCUGCCCUUGACUUUGGGAUAACUUCAGGAAACUGGGGCUAAUACCGGAUAGGAGCUCCUGCUGCAUGGUGGGGGUUGGAAAGUUUCGGCGGUUGGGGAUGGACUGGCGGCUUAUCAGCUUGUUGGUGGGGUAGUGGCUUACCAAGGCUUUGACGGGUAGCCGGCCUGAGAGGGUGACCGGCCACAUUGGGACUGGGAUACGGCCCAGACCCCUACGGGAGGCAGCAGUGGGGAAUAUUACACAAUGGGCGGAAGCCUGAUGCAGCAACGCCGCGUGCGGGAUGACGGCCUUCGGGUUGUAAACCGCUUUCGCCUGUGACGAAGCGUGAGUGACGGUAAUGGGUAAAGAAGCACCGGCUAACUACGUG